AUUCGGAAAAUGCGAAAUAACUUUGAUUCGUAUGGAAUGAGGCCAAAUUUGGACCUUGCUUAGUAUGAAUGUGUUGACUAUGAAAUUAUUGGUGUGAAAUAUGGAAGGAGGCCAAGGGGAAAAAAUUGGAAUUUUAGAAAUUAGUUUCGGGAAUUACAAAACAAGAAUUCUAACCAAAUUGGACUAAAAAAAAAUAAGAAAGUGAGGCCCAAAUCCAAGGCCCAACCGGCCAUAGUAGUGUCCAAGCCCACAAGAAAUUGUGUAAGUAAUUAAUUAUAUAUAUGAUUGGAUAAUUCUCAAGAACCUUCAAGAAGACACAAAGCAAAAACAAAAGAAAAGAAAGGGAGCAUUUCGGGUGAGGAAAGAAAAAGAAAGAAAAGAAAGAAAAAAUUUCUUGGAGCUAAUCCUUGGUUCAAAAAUUAAAUUCUUGUGAGAUUAGUACUAAGCUCAAGGCCCUCUACAAGUUGAUAUAAGUAUUGUGGCAAGAAAGCAACCUUAACCCCAAGUGAAGAAAGAUUUUAGACGAAAUUGGAAUCGACGCCAAGCGAGCGUAAGGCGCUAUCGAGGUACAGACGCACUUGAAGAUACGCCGCCAGUCUAGGGCUCAGAUUCUGCUAUUUUGAAGAGCUCCUUUGAUCCGGAGCGUGUACUUUUGGUAUAUAUCUUCUGUCUUCUGUAUAUUCUGUAUGUAUGGCAACUCCGGGUACGGCGGGGCCCUGUCCCGUCAUAUGAUUCUGUAUGUCUGUUAGAGGCCUGUAGAUGUGUUUGUGGGUUAGGGUCUUUCUGUGCGGAUGUGUGUAUAUGUUGUGUUUGGGGCGAUCCCAUUCGCCGCGGCGGCCGGUCCGCAUAUGUUUAUAUGUUGCUUUGUUGGCUGGUGUGGCCUUUGUUGGUAUUUUCUGUGCGCAGGGUUAUUUUGGAUAGUCUGUAAAACAAAGGAAACUCUGCCAAAAUUUUUCUGGAAAUUAUUUAAAUUUGAAAUAUAGCCUUGACGGCUUCUGCUU